rnacentral:rRNA from 1 species
GGAUGCGAUCAUACCAGCACUAAAGCACCAGAUCCCAUCAGAACUCCGAAGUUAAGCGUGCUUGGGCGAGAGUAGUACUAGGAUGGGUGACCUCCAGGGAAGUCCUCGUGUUGCAUUCC